rnacentral:rRNA from 1 species
GUGGGGGAUAUUGCACAAUGGGGGAAACCCUGAUGCAGCAACGCCGCGUGAAGGAAGAAGGUCUUCGGAUUGUAAACUUUUGUCUUGCGGGACGAAUAAUGACGGUACCGCAGGAGGAAGCCACGGCUAACUACGUGCCAGCAGCCGCGGUAAUACGUAGGUGGCGAGCGUUGUCCGGAAUUACUGGGUGUAAAGGGUGCGUAGGCGGAUUUGCAAGUCAGGUGUGAAAACUAUCGGCUUAACCGGUAGCCUGCACUUGAAACUGUAAGUCUUGAGUGGUGAAGAGGUAAGCGGAAUUCCUAGUGUAGCGGUGAAAUGCGUAGAUAUUAGGAGGAACACCAGUGGCGAAGGCGGCUUACUGGGCACUAACUGACGCUGAGGCACGAAAGCAUGGGGAGCAAACAGGAUUAGAUACCCCGGUAGUCC